rnacentral:lncRNA from 1 species
UUUUUUAUUUUAUUUUUUGCAAGAGGAAGUCAGUUCUUGGUGUGAAGGUAGAGGAGACCACACGAAGAGGAGAAGAGAGGAGAACGGGAGACAGUCAGAGAAGGAGAAAGAAUUGGGAAGACUGGGGAAACCCUCCUUCCACCCUAAAGAAACAUGGCCUGAGUUAUUUCCAGGGGUUACCCUGCAGGCGGAUGACAAAAACGUCGGAAGGCAGAGAUCCCCAAAUGCAGCAGUUCCAUU